UACGGAGGGUGCGAGCGUUGUUCGGAAUUACUGGGCGUAAAGGGCGUGUAGGCGGCCAACUAAGUCCGACGUGAAAUCCCCAGGCUUAACCUGGGAACUGCGUCGGAUACUGGAUGGCUUGAAUCCGGGAGAGGGAUGCGGAAUUCCAGGUGUAGCGGUGAAAUGCGUAGAUAUCCGGAGGAACACCAGUGGCGAAGGCGACACGCUGGGCCGUACCUGACGCUAAAGCGCGACAGCAUGGGGAGCAAACGGG
rnacentral:rRNA from 1 species